AUUGAACGCUGGCGGCAGGCCUAACACAUGCAAGUCGAGCGGUAGCACAGAGAGCUUGCUCUCGGGUGACGAGCGGCGGACGGGUGAGUAAUGUCUGGGAAACUGCCUGAUGGAGGGGGAUAACUACUGGAAACGGUAGCUAAUACCGCAUAACGUCGCAAGACCAAAGUGGGGGACCUUCGGGCCUCAUGCCAUCAGAUGUGCCCAGAUGGGAUUAGCUAGUAGGUGGGGUAAUGGCUCACCUAGGCGACGAUCCCUAGCUGGUCUGAGAGGAUGACCAGCCACACUGGAACUGAGACACGGUCCAGACUCCUACGGGAGGCAGCAGUGGGGAAUAUUGCACAAUGGGCGCAAGCCUGAUGCAGCCAUGCCGCGUGUGUGAAGAAGGCCUUCGGGUUGUAAAGCACUUUCAGCGGGGAGGAAGGCGUUAAGGUUAAUAACCUUGGCGAUUGACGUUACCCGCAGAAGAAGCACCGGCUAACUCCGUGCCAGCAGCCGCGGUAAUACGGAGGGUGCAAGCGUUAAUCGGAAUUACUGGGCGUAAAGCGCACGCAGGCGGUCUGUCAAGUCGGAUGUGAAAUCCCCGGGCUCAACCUGGGAACUGCAUUCGAAACUGGCAGACUAGAGUCUUGUAGAGGGGGGUAGAAUUCCAGGUGUAGCGGUGAAAUGCGUAGAGAUCUGGAGGAAUACCGGUGGCGAAGGCGGCCCCCUGGACAAAGACUGACGCUCAGGUGCGAAAGCGUGGGGAGCAAACAGGAUUAGAUACCCUGGUAGUCCACGCCGUAAACGAUGUCGAUUUGGAGGUUGUGCCCUUGAGGCGUGGCUUCCGGAGCUAACGCGUUAAAUCGACCGCCUGGGGAGUACGGCCGCAAGGUUAAAACUCAAAUGAAUUGACGGGGGCCCGCACAAGCGGUGGAGCAUGUGGUUUAAUUCGAUGCAACGCGAAGAACCUUACCUGGUCUUGACAUCCACAGAACUUUCCAGAGAUGGAUUGGUGCCUUCGGGAACUGUGAGACAGGUGCUGCAUGGCUGUCGUCAGCUCGUGUUGUGAAAUGUUGGGUUAAGUCCCGCAACGAGCGCAACCCUUAUCCUUUGUUGCCAGCGGUUAGGCCGGGAACUCAAAGGAGACUGCCAGUGAUAAACUGGAGGAAGGUGGGGAUGACGCCAAGUCAUCAUGGCCCUUACGACCAGGGCUACACACGUGCUACAAUGGCAUAUACAAAGAGAAGCGACCUCGCGAGAGCAAGCGGACCUCAUAAAGUAUGUCGUAGUCCGGAUUGGAGUCUGCAACUCGACUCCAUGAAGUCGGAAUCGCUAGUAAUCGUAGAUCAGAAUGCUACGGUGAAUACGUUCCCGGGCCU
rnacentral:rRNA from 1 species